AUGGGCGAUAUGGCGAAGGUCGUGGCCAUCGUGGUCGCGGCCGUCGUGCUCGUGGCGUGCGUGUUCCUGGCCAUUUGGAAGUACCGAUGGCAGGCCAGCACCGUUGCACGCACACGGACACGGUCACUCGAGUCAUCCACGGCUACGCCGCAGGCCAACGGCUCCGCGAGCCUUAAUCCAGUAUCUCUGUCUUCGUGGUCUUCGAGAGCGUCUCCGACUGGGGCAACAACCUACUGCCGGCGGGGAAGCAAAUCGCCUUCUGGGGCGGGCGGGGCAACAACGGCAGGGACCAGCCCAUGUCCGUCUUUGGGAUCCCGAAGUACCAUUACAAGGAUCUGCAGAAGGCUACCAAAAACUUCACAACGAUUCUGGGCCAUGGAUCAUUUGGUCUUGUGUACAAGACUGUAA
rnacentral:rRNA from 1 species